rnacentral:rRNA from 1 species
UGGGGAAUAUUGCACAAUGGGCGCAAGCCUGAUGCAGCCAUGCCGCGUGUAUGAAGAAGGCCUUCGGGUUGUAAAGUACUUUCAGCGAGGAGGAAGGUGUUGUGGUUAAUAACCACAGCAAUUGACGUUACUCGCAGAAGAAGCACCGGCUAACUCCGUGCCAGCAGCCGCGGUAAUACGGAGGGUGCAAGCGUUAAUCGGAAUUACUGGGCGUAAAGCGCACGCAGGCGGUUUGUUAAGUCAGAUGUGAAAUCCCGGC